rnacentral:pre_miRNA from 1 species
CGUCUUCGAGGAUCGGGCAGGCCAGGAUGUGGGCAUUAUUUGUGAUAAUGGCACUCAAAUUGCACUCGUCCCGGCCUGCUGGAUCUGCUCGAUAUA